AACGAACGCUGGCGGCAGGCUUAACACAUGCAAGUCGAACGGGUGUAGCAAUACAUCAGUGGCAGACGGGUGAGUAACACGUGGGAACCUUCCUAGGGGUACGGAACAACUCAGGGAAACUUGAGCUAAUACCGUAUACGUCCGUGAGGAGAAAGAUUUAUCGCCCUUAGACGGGCCCGCGUCGGAUUAGCUAGUUGGUGGGGUAACGGCCUACCAAGGCGACGAUCCGUAGCUGAUCUUAGAGGAUGAUCAGCCACACUGGGACUGAGACACGGCCCAGACUCCUACGGGAGGCAGCAGUGGGGAAUCUUGGACAAUGGGCGCAAGCCUGAUCCAGCCAUGCCGCGUGAGUGAAGAAGGUCUUCGGAUUGUAAAGCUCUUUUACCCGGGACGAUAAUGACUGUACCGGGAGAAUAAGCCCCGGCUAACUUCGUGCCAGCCGCUGCAGUAA
rnacentral:rRNA from 1 species